rnacentral:rRNA from 1 species
UACGUAGGGUGCGAGCGUUAAUCGGAAUUACUGGGCGUAAAGGGCGCGUAGGCGGCACUGUUAGUCAGGCGUGAAAGUCCUGGGCUCAACCUGGGAACUGCGCUUGAUACGGCAGAGCUAGAGGAUGGAAGAGGCUCGCGGAAUUCCCAGUGUAGAGGUGAAAUUCGUAGAUAUUGGGAAGAACACCGGUGGCGAAGGCGGCGAGCUGGUCCAUUACUGACGCUGAGGCGCGACAGCGUGGGGAGCAAACAGG